GGCUCGGUAAAUAAAACUGCACUUGAGUCUUGCAAGUAGUUCUAGAGAUAUUCAGCCUUUGAUUUAUGCAGUUGAUAUUUUCAGGUGUAUUCCUCUCAAGUGUAACUUCCAUCAUAGGUCAUACUAAAAGAGCUGGAGUUCUUCAGUACAAGAGUUAAAAUAGCUCAAUCAGCAAGGAAGCAAAGUUUUCAGGUUUGCAAUGACAGGCUGGAUGGAAUUAUGGAAUGUGGAAGCUGUAGCUGUGGUACCCUGACCUGCUCGGUGGAUGAAUCUACCUCCUGCAACAUCCAAAGGAGUGCAAUGCCAGGCACGUGUCUGGAUGGUGGCUGGAGAGAAGCAGCAGCACCACGCAUCUGUGAGCUGCAAGCCCCAAAGGCAGCGGAUGAGGACGGGGGCCAAAGGAAUACAUCGUUCGUGUGAGAUGAGAUUUGGGAGUGCGAGUGUGCCUGUGUUUUCAAACAAGAAUACUGAUUUUCUUCCCUCCCAUUUUCUUUUUUUUUUUUUUGGUUCUGCAUUUUUAAAAAUGCCUCGUAUUUAAGAAAUACUUAGGAUGCAUCCUUCAAAGGGAUUUUUUUUUUAAUAUCACUAAGUGAUACUCAAGCAUAGCUAAAGUGUUAAAAACAGGUCAUGAUUUAUUAUGUUUAAGAAGUACAUUUUAAUUCUUUCAAAAUAUUUUGAGAAUUUCAAAAGUAUUAAAGUGAGAAUCAAAACUGAUCUGCAUUACUUGUAACCGAGAUAAUUGGUGGUUAACACAUCACAUAACAACUGUACCUACUCUCAUAUUUUAUAAAUACAUCCAAAAUACAUGUCCAUUGUAAGACAAAUUCUUUAAUGUUCCUUCAUAGAUUUGUUAGAAUUUGCUGCUUAAAAUUUUAAAGCUCUCAGAAGAAUCGUAUUUGUAGGAAGUAAAAAAUUAAAGAGACCAAACCCUCUGCUGGUACAGACUGGUGAAAUACCACUGACUUCAGUGGGGUGAUGUUGAUUUAAACUGGAAGAUCUGCCAAAUAUGAAUAAAGUAUACCUUGUGGAUAAUGGAAAGAUUUGGUGAUGUAUUGUGCAGAUUGAUUUGUAGACUGCAUGUCAUAAACCCUGGAUUUCUAUUAAGGUAACAUGAUAUAUAUAUAUAUAAGGAAAGUCACAUUUUAGUUAUGAAAAUAAAACUACAUUUGCAUAUAUAUUAAGUAAUUUAAAUUUAAGAAAGAGUGGAGACCCUUCUAAUAAGGUUCUGAAAUACAGUGGAAAACUGCUGUUUCAACAGAAUAUGACUAAACCAUGGAUUCCCAUUUGUACUGAAAUUCAUUAAAAUGAUGAACAUUAAAACAAGUAAAAUAUCUGCCUUUCAGGAACCACUUUAGAAAAUGAAGCAAUAGCGAAUUUGGAAAAACAACAACAAAGUUGUAUUUGAAUUUGGAGGAUUAAUUUGAAGUAUUAAAUACAGAGAAGUGGAAUAAAAUAAAUCCCUGUGGAUAGUUAGCACUGGAAUAAAUGUGCUUUCUUUUGUAAUAAGGAAAGGUCCAAGGUUCUUACUAAACAAAUUUGUAGGACUAUAAUUAGAAGGCAAUCAACACUUAAAUAUACAACAUUUUUGGACCUGAUAAAUAUCUUUAUAAUCACACACUGCAUUUCAUAAUUUAGAGAUCAUAGGUAAGCUUGG